rnacentral:rRNA from 1 species
GCAUAUCAAUAAGCGGAGGAAAAGAAACUAACCAGAAUUCCCUCAGUAAGGGCGACUGAAGCGGGAAGAGCUCAGGAUGUGAAUCUGCGCCUUGGUGCGCCGAAUUGUGGUCUGUCGACGGUGGCAUUACUGGCCGGGCCAAGUCCUUUGGAACAAGGCAGCUGAGAGGGUGAGACUCCCGUCCGCCUGGCCUCUGGAGCGAGUGUCAACGAGUCGAGUUGUUUGGGAAU